rnacentral:lncRNA from 1 species
AAAAAUUAUUUUAGCGACAACAAGCGACAAGAAGACUAUUUAGCGACAAGAAAACAUUUUUUUUUAAUUAGAUAUAAAGAAAUUUGUAUUUAAUGGUAUAUAUAAGAUAAUGUAUGUAUCUGUUUUCAUCAAAGUCAAAGUAUGAAUAAACGAAUGGAGAUAUAUAUGGAGCGGGCAUAAUGGAAUAUAAUAUUUUGAUUCAUUUGCUUAAUACUAUGCUCUAAGUGUAAUCUUGUUAUGUCAAUUCGAUGCUUUAUUUGUAGAACUCUCAACCACGCUUUGCCAUCUUUAUUAUUUAAGCGUGUUUCCAGACCCCACGACGAGGACGUGGUUCUACCUUGGGGUCCAUAUACAGAGCACGUACUUUUGCGAGAAUAAUACUGAAAUGCUGACAAUUUACUUUAUACUAAACAUAAAAGUUGAAUGGCUUCAGUCAGCUUGGUAGAGCAAAGGAAAUGCACACGCUAUAAAAUUGAAACAGAAACAAAAAAAGGUCAACUUUCCUUUGAAGGAUUUAUUGAAACAAAAACAUGAAAUAUUAUUUCCUUUCUAACAGUAUAAUUCAUUGUUCUUGAUAGGAACAACAUUAGAUGUGGCUUCACCCUAAGGUAAUAACAGUACACACAAUGUGGAACAUCAAAUGAGAUUAACGAGUCGCGUGUCCCCUGUUUUAUUGCUACAAUAACAUCCACUUAACACCUUCAACUUUGUACACGCGUCAGACUAUACAAUUACACGCGCCAGAAUAUAUAAUCAUUGUAAAUAGUGAACACCUGUUGAAAACUCAAGAUUGUCAUUAAUUUCCUUUCAUCUUCAAUCAAUAUGCAUAAACAUGAUAAAUAUCGUUUAAUGAGGCAAUAAACAAAUAA